ACCGGAUGCGGAUCUCGAAAGCCUGUCCCAGUUCGGACUGGAGUCUGCAACCCGACUCCACGAAGUUGGAUUCGCUAGUAAUCGCGCAUCAGCCAUGGCGCGGUGAAUACGUUCCCGGGCCUUGUACACACCGCCCGUCAAGCCAUGGGAGCCGGGGGCGCCUGAAGUCCGGGACCGCGAGGAGCGCCCUAAGGUAAAACCGGUGACUGGGGCUAAGUCGUAACAAGGUACC
rnacentral:rRNA from 1 species